GCCCAGAUGGCGAAAUCGGUAGACGCGCUAGUUUCAGGGACUAGUGUUAGUAAUAACGUGCAAGUUCGAGUCUUGUUCUGGGCAC
rnacentral:tRNA from 1 species